rnacentral:rRNA from 1 species
GAUGAACGCUGGCGGCGUGCCUAAUACAUGCAAGUCGAGCGAACAGACGAGGAGCUUGCUCCUCUGACGUUAGCGGCGGACGGGUGAGUAACACGUGGAUAACCUACCUAUAAGACUGGGAUAACUUCGGGAAACCGGAGCUAAUACCGGAUAAUAUAUUGAACCGCAUGGUUCGAUAGUGAAAGACGGUUUUGCUGUCACUUAUAGAUGGAUCCGCGCCGCAUUAGCUAGUUGGUAAGGUAACGGCUUACCAAGGCAACGAUGCGUGGCCGACCGGAGAGGGUGAUCGGCCACACUGGAACUGAGCCGCGGUCCAGACGCCUGCGGGAGGCAGCAGUAGGGAAUGUUCCGCAAUGGGCGAAAGCCUGGCGGAGCGACGCCGCGUGAGUGACGAAGGUCUUCGGAUCGUAAAACUCUGUUAUUAGUGAAGAACAAAUGUGUAAGUAACUAUGCACGUCUUGACGGUACCUAAUCAGAAAGCCACGGCUAACUACGUG